AGAGUUUGAUCCUGGCUCAGGACGAACGCUGGCGGCGUGCCUAACACAUGCAAGUCGAGCGGAGGAUUCAAGAUGUUUACAUUGAGAAUCCUUAGCGGCGGACGGGUGAGUAACACGUGGGUAACCUGCCUCAAAGUGGGGGAUAGCCUUUCGAAAGGAAGAUUAAUACCGCAUAAGCCUCCGGUGCCGCAUGGCGCUGAAGGAAAAGGAGCAAUUCGCUUUGAGAUGGACCCGCGGCGCAUUAGCUAGUUGGUGAGGUAACGGCUCACCAAGGCCACGAUGCGUAGCCGACCUGAGAGGGUGAUCGGCCACAUUGGAACUGAGACACGGUCCAGACUCCUACGGGAGGCAGCAGUGGGGAAUAUUGCACAAUGGGCGAAAGCCUGAUGCAGCAACGCCGCGUGAGUGAUGAAGGCCUUCGGGUCGUAAAGCUCUUUGAUCAGGGAUGAUAAUGACAGUACCUGAAAAACAAGCCACGGCUAACUACGUGCCAGCAGCCGCGGUAAUACGUAGGUGGCGAGCGUUGUCCGGAAUUACUGGGCGUAAAGGAUGCGUAGGUGGAUAUUUAAGUGGGAUGUGAAACCCCCGGGCUCAACCCGGGAACUGCAUUCCAAACUGGGUAUCUAGAGUGCAGGAGAGGAAAGCGGAAUUCCUAGUGUAGCGGUGAAAUGCGUAGAUAUUAGGAGGAACACCAGUGGCGAAGGCGGCU
rnacentral:rRNA from 1 species